UACAGAGGGUGCUAGCGUUGUUCGGAAUUACUGGGCGUAAAGCGCACGUAGGCGGCUUUGUAAGUUAGCGGUGAAAGCCCGGGGCUCAACUCCGGGAUUGCCUUUAAGACUGCAUCGCUAGAAUUGUGGAGAGGUAAGUGGAAUUCCGAGUGUAGAGGUGAAAUUCGUAGAUAUUCGGAAGAACACCAGUGGCGAAGGCGACUUACUGGACACAUAUUGACGCUGAGGUGCGAAAGCGUGGGGAGCAAACAGG
rnacentral:rRNA from 1 species